rnacentral:rRNA from 1 species
CCUACGGGAGGCAGCAGUGGGGAAUAUUGGACAAUGGGCGCAAGCCUGAUCCAGCCAUGCCGCGUGAGUGAUGAAGGCCCUAGGGUUGUAAAGCUCUGCACCGGUGAAGAUAAUGACAGUA